GAACUAGCGGAGGAGGACGACGGCGAGAAGCCGGGCCUCAAGCUCUGGCUGCGCAUGGAGGACGCGCGGCGCGGGGGGCGCCCACGGGACAACCAGGCCAUCGAGUUCCUGUUCCAGCUGGGCCGGGACGCGGCCGAGGAGGUGGCACAGGAGAUGGUGGCUCUGGGCUUGGUCUGUGAAGCCGAUUACCAGCCAGUGGCCCGUGCAGUACGUGAACGGGUUGCUGCCAUCCAGCGAAAGCGUGAGAAGCUGCGUAAAGCAAGGGAAUUGGAGGCACUCCCACCAGAGCCAGGACCUCCACCAGCAACUGUGCCCAUGGCUCCCGGUCCCCCCAGUGUCUUCCCCCCUGAGCCUGAGGAGCCAGAGGCAGACCAGCACCAGCCCUUCCUUUUCCGCCACGCCAGCUACUCAUCUACCACUUGCUUUUGCCCUAUCCAUUCCACGUUCUGGCCCUGGAAGUGACUUUUCCCCCGGGGACAGCUAUGCCUCAGAUGCAGCUUCAGGCCUUAGCGAUGUGGGAGAAGGGAUGGGACAAAUGAGGAGACCCCCAGCGAGGAAUCUCCGGCGCAGACCCCGAUCCCGGCUGCGGGUCACUAGUGUCUCAGACCAGAAUGACAGAGUGGUUGAGUGCCAGCUACAGACCCAUAACAGCAAGAUGGUGACCUUCCGAUUUGAUCUGGAUGGGGACAGCCCGGAAGAGAUUGCAGCUGCCAUGGUAUAUAACGAGUUCAUUCUGCCCUCGGAGCGAGAUGGAUUUCUCAGACGGAUUCGGGAGAUUAUCCAGCGAGUGGAGACCCUGUUGAAGAGAGACACUGGCCCCGUGGAGGCUGCUGAAGACACCCUAAGCCCCCAGGUCAGACCCCUUGGUGGACACUUCCAGGGGAAAUGGACUCUCUGCUCCAGGGUUUAUUACUCUCUGCCCUCAGCGGUCCCCUUGGAUUUAACUCCUCUUCAUCUCUGGGACCCUAAAACAGUGGCGCUUUUUUUUUUUUUUUUUUUUUUGAGAUGGAGUCUCGCUCUGUCGCCCAGGCUGGAGUGCAGUGGCACGAUCUCGGCUCACUGCAAGCUCCGCCUCCCGGGUUCACGCCAUUCUCCUGUCUCAGCCUCCCGAGUAGCUGGGACUACAGGCGCUCGCCACCACACCCGGGUAAUUUUUUUUGUAUUUUUAGUAGAGACAGGGUUUCACCGUGUUAGCCAGGCUGGUCUCGAUCUCCUGACCUCGUGAUCCGCCCUCCUCGGCCUCCCAAAGUGCUGGGAUUACAGGUGUGAGCCACCGCGCCUGGCCUAAAACAGUGGCUCUUAGCCCAUUUGAGAAUAUGAUGAAAGCCAUGGACCCUUGUUCUAGAAAACUUGUUCAAUACAUACUUUUCUUUUAACUCAUUAUUUUGAAAUAAUUUCAGACUUGUGGAGAGAAGUUGCAAGAAUUAUAUAAAGAACCGCUGGAUACCCUUUGCCCAGAUUUGCCACUUGUUAGUGUUUUGCCACCUUAGCGUCAUCAUUGUCUCUUCCUCUCCCCUCUGUAUGUGUGCAUACAUAAUAUAUUUUUCGGAACCACUUAAGAGUAAGUUGCAGACAUCAUGCCCUUUUACCUCUAUACAUUUCAGCACAUAUGCUUCUGAAU
rnacentral:sRNA from 1 species